UUCCGGUGGAUUAGUGGUUAAAGCGUCCGCUUUGGAUGCGGUAGGUGGCGGGUUAGAAUCCCGGCCCAGUCAU